rnacentral:rRNA from 1 species
GGCUUGUAGUCAUAUGCUUGUCUCAAAGAUUAAGCCAUGCAUGUCUAAGUAUAAGCAACUUUGUACUGUGAAACUGCAAAUGGCUCAUUAAAUCAGUUAUAGUUUAUUUGAUGGUUUUUGCUACAUGUAUAACUGUGGUAAUUCUAGAGCUAAUACAUGCAUUCAAGCCCCGACUUCUGGAAGGGGUGUAUUUAUUAGAUAAAAAUCAACUCUGUUGGUGAAUCAUAAUAACUUCUCGGACCGCAUGGCCUCGUGCUGGCGGUGCUUCAUUCAAAUAUCUGCCCUAUCAACUGCCGAUGGUAGGAUAGAGGCCUACCAUGGUUGCAACGGGUAACGGGGAAUAAGGGUUCGAUUCCGGAGAGGGAGCCUGAGAAACGGCUACCACAUCCAAGGAAGGCAGCAGGCGCGCAAAUUACCCAAUCCCAACACGGGGAGGUAGUGACAAUAUGUAACAAUAUACGGCCUUAUACGUCGUAUAAUUGGAAUGAGUACAAUUUAAAUCCCUUAACGAGGAACAAUUGGAGGGCAAGUCUGGUGCCAGCAGCCGCGGUAAUUCCAGCUCCNAUAGCGUAUAUUAAAGUUGUUGCAGUUA